AUCCAAUUGGCGAGUCCGGAAUAGGACGAAAUGAGCAUCCUGGAU
rfam:Trichobilharzia regenti genome assembly, scaffold: TRE_scaffold0035763